UAGCUCAAUGGAAGAGCACCUCCCUUACAAGAAGGAGGUUGGUGGUUCGAUUCCUCC
rnacentral:tRNA from 1 species